rnacentral:pre_miRNA from 1 species
AAUAAGUACAGUUUUGCACGGUUCAUGUCUAACGUUUAUUUGAAAAUUUUUUACGAUUAAUAUUUUUAUUGUUAUUAGAUGAUAAAACAUAAAUAGUACUUUAUGUGCGACUAACUUUUUUUAAUUUUCUCAUAAAAUUUUUAAAUAAGAUGGACGGUCAAACGUUGGACACGGAUUGUCGGAUUCCCACGACUGCACUUAUU